UACGUAGGGUGCAGGCGUUAAUCGGAAUUACUGGGCGUAAAGCGUGCGCAGGCGGUUUGCUAAGACAGGUGUGAAAUCCCCGGGCUUAACCUGGGAACUGCGCUUGUUACUGGCAAGCUGGAGUGUGGCAGAGGGGGGUGGAAUUCCACGUGUAGCAGUAAAAUGCGUAGAGAUGUGGAGGAACACCGAUGGCGAAGGCAGCCCCCUGGGCUAACACUGACGCUCAUGCACGAAAGCGUGGGGAGCAAACAGG
rnacentral:rRNA from 1 species